rnacentral:misc_RNA from 1 species
CCAAACUUGGUCAUUUAGAGGAAGUACAAGUCGUAACAAGGUUUCCGUAGGUGAACCUGCGGAAGGAUCAUUAACGAAUCGUAUGAUGUUGUGUGGUUGUGAUGUUGUGUAUGAUCCUAUAUGAUUGUGUGUGUGUGUGGAUACACAUGCAAUUGUGCAAUCAUGCACAUUACACAUACACCAUACACACCAUACACAUUAGCCCUCCCUGAUAUUGGGAAGUGCAUAUUCAUGCUAUUAUUGUGUUGUUGUGGUGGUAGGUGUAUACGUAUGAUGUAUGUAUAUGUAUGAUGUAUGUAUAUGUAUAUGCAUGUAUGAUGUAUGUAUAUGCAUGCAUGUAUGUAUAUGUAUGAUGUAUUUAUAUGCAUGUAUGUAUAACAUAUAGCAUAUACACAUUUAUACACCAAUGUGCAUAAAUAGAUAACUUUUAACAAUGGAUCUCUAGGCUCUUGCAUCGAUGAAGAACGCAGC